rnacentral:rRNA from 1 species
GUGCCAGCAGCCGCGGUAAAACGUAGGACACAAGCGUUAUCCGGAGUUACUGGGCGUAAAGGGCGUGUAGGCGGACCUAUAAGUCUAUUCUGAAAGCUCCUGGCUAAACUGGGAGAGGCGAAUGGAGACUGUAGAUCUAGAGUGAGGAAGAGGAAAGUGGAAUUCCGCGUGUAGUGGUGAAAUGCGUAGAGAUGCGGAGGAACACCAGUGGCGAAAGCGACUUUCUGGUCCUUAACUGACGCUGAGGCGCGAAAGCAUGGGGAGCGAACGGGAUUAGAUACCCCUGUAGUCC